UACGAAGGGAGCUAGCGUUGUUCGGAAUUACUGGGCGUAAAGGGCCCGUAGGCGGGUUUCCAAGUCGGGGGUGAAAUUCCAGGGCUCAACCCUGGGACGGCCUUCGAUACUGGGAGCCUGGAGAUCGGGAGAGGUGAGUGGAAUUCCGAGUGUAGAGGUGAAAUUCGUAGAUAUUCGGAGGAACACCAGAAGCGAAGGCGGCUCACUGGCCCGAGACUGACGCUGAGGCGCGAAAGCGUGGGGAGCAAACAGG
rnacentral:rRNA from 1 species